rnacentral:rRNA from 1 species
AGAGUUUGAUCCUGGCUCAGAAUGAACGCUGGCGGCGUGCUUAACACAUGCAAGUCGCACGAGAACGCUUUAGCUUGCUAGAGCAAGUAAAGUGGCGCACGGGUGAGUAACGCGUGGGCAAUCUACCUCCGAAUCGGGGAUAACAUUGCGAAAGCGAUGCUAAUACCGGAUGACAUCCUGAAGGCUUCGGUUUUAAGGAUCAAAGGUGGCCUCUACAUGUAAGCUACUGUUUGGAGAUGAGCCCGCGUACCAUUAGCUUGUUGGUAGGGUAACGGCCUACCAAGGCGACGAUGGUUAGCUGGUCUGAGAGGAUGAUCAGCCACACUGGAACUGACACACGGUCCAGACUCCUACGGGAGGCAGCAGUGAGGAAUUUUGCGCAAUGGGGGAAACCCUGACGCAGCAACGCCGCGUGAGUGAUGAAGGCUUUCGGGUCGUAAAGCUCUGUCAAGUGGGAAGAAACCACGAGGUGAUAAUAUCGCUUUGUGCUGACGGUACCACUGAAGGAAGCACCGGCUAACUCCGUGCCAGCAGCCGCGGUAAUACGGGGGGUGCAAGCGUUAUUCGGAAUCAUUGGGCGUAAAGGGCGCGUAGGCGGUUUGUUAAGUCAGAUGUGAAAGCCCGGGGCUCAACCCCGGAAGUGCAUUUGAUACUGGCGGACUUGAGUAUGGGAGAGGGAAGUGGAAUUCCUGGUGUAGAGGUGAAAUUCGUAGAUAUCAGGAGGAACACCGGUGGCGAAGGCGACUUCCUGGACCAAUACUGACGCUGAGGCGCGAAGGCGUGGGUAGCAAACAGGAUUAGAUACCCUGGUAGUCCACGCAGUAAACGGUGAUCACUAGGUGUAGCGGGUAUUGACCCCUGCUGUGCCGCAGUUAACGCAUUAAGUGAUCCGCCUGGGGAGUACGGCCGCAAGGUUAAAACUCAAAGGAAUUGACGGGGGCCCGCACAAGCGGUGGAGCAUGUGGUUUAAUUCGACGCAACGCGAAGAACCUUACCUGGGUUUGACAUCUCGGGGAUUUUUUGGAAACAAGAAAGUGCCCUUCGGGGAGCCCGAAGACAGGUGCUGCAUGGCUGUCGUCAGCUCGUGUCGUGAGAUGUUGGGUUAAGUCCCGCAACGAGCGCAACCCUUAUCUUUAGUUACCAUCACUUCGGGUGGGGACUCUAAAGAUACUGCCCCGGUCAACGGGGAGGAAGGUGGGGAUGACGUCAAGUCCUCAUGGCC